ACUUGAAUUUGCAAUUUUGGAAUAAAAGUACUCCACCAUCUAAGCUGAAUUUCAAUUUUCAGUUGUAUGAUUAAAUGUGCCGAGAAUCCUUUUAUGAUAGGUAGUCACCAGAUCGGACUGAAAUUCAUACUAUUAAGGCCGUCGUCAAACCAGCGACGCCUCGCCGGAGGAACUCCUCACCCAUCAGCGCCGACAAUACCGUCGAUCCUAACCACCACUUAGCUCAAGCGAUUAUCUCGAUCAAUAGAACCCUAGGACUUAUGCAGUACAUGAGCUGGACAAUAUAAGGAAACUGGUGACCUAGGCAAGGUUCAGGUGUCAAUGGACUGAUGGAGCUCCUAGAGUAAGUUUAGAAAAAAAGGCUUAUGUCUUGAAUGGAUUCAUUGUGAACUGCCACUAAUGUAUUUAAGCCCAUUUAUUUUGACUACUGAGAUUUCACUAAUGCCAUACAAACUUGGUACUUAUGUUUGAUUUAUCAAACUGUUACCACAUCAAUUCAGAAUUUGUUCCAGAAAGGGAACACCUAGUUUGAUCAGAGUUGAUGAAUGCAGGUGAAUAUACAUUUCCAGUAGUAGUCACCAGCUGAUGCAAAUAGCUUACUAUCAGAGCUUUCAAGUUUAUCUGCCAAUAACCAAAGUGACUUUGGUCCAUAUUUUUGUUUAUGAAUCCAUUAGCACAACUGCCUCGCCUUUCCUUUUGGUUGGUUGGUUAACUUUACGUCUCUGACUUUGGAGCAUAUAAUGGAUUUCAGAUUGUUGCCUUUCCACUUUCCAGUAUAUGUGAAUCUAAGGUUUUAGAUUAUGCUAGCCCCUUUAAUUCUAAACUUUUCUUAUAGACUUGGACUGAUGAUGAAAAGUAGAACUGGAUGUUUUUGAAAUUUUUUAAAGUAACAAUGAUAGAAGUUGUUUUCUACUACUCCAUUUCUUACUUUCUUCUGAAUAACAAGGAUAAAGUUGAUAUUUCAUUAUUUCUGUUUUAUAAUAUUUCAGCAUUUCUCUCCUCUGCAUCUUUAACUUUCUUAGAUUACCAAUAUAUUCCGCAUUAAAUGGAGAAGGUUUUUCCAUCUUGCUGUCUUAUAUCUGAACUAAUUAGUUCCAUCACUUUUGUUCUCUUUUUUCAAUCGGAGUUUAUAAAUGGACCUGACUGAGGAACUGGAUUAGGUAUUUCAUGAUGAGGAUGAAGCUUACAGGGUGAUACUUCUGCAUCUGCAGCAGUUGAUUCUCUAGUUUGUUAGACCAGAUUCACCAUCCCUGGCGGCUUACUUAUAUAGAGGAGGUCCUGAUAGAUGGUUAAUUCUAUCUAACAUUAAAAACAUCUUUAUCAUGACCCACACGAAGGCAAACUAUUUAGUAUAUGUUGUAAUAACUAUAUUCAGACGUGCGUCUAUUGCAGUGAAUGAUAUAGAUUAGUGAAACGAAUCACAUGUUUUAAUGCAAACAAUCGUUUUGCUGCCUUUGUUUCACUAGAUUUUGUUUCUGUGUGUAAUUAAGCCCCAUUUAUGGUUGUCCUAUACUUUCCAAUGUUAUAUAGCAGCUUGUAUUUCUACCUGCUGCAUAUGUUUCUUUUUCUGUUGGACUUACUGCUUUUUUUACUUAAGGAACAGAAUGUCAUGCUUUAAAAGCAACACGUGGCUAAGUCUGGAUUCUGCCUUAUGAUCACGAACAUCCAUCUCAAGAAUUUGAGAUGGCUUUCACAGGGUUCAUACAGCAAACAUAAAUCAAAAUUGGAAGAAGUAUACAGUAUGGUUUAUGUAACCUAGUUCUAAAUACUCUGCUCUCUAAUCUAUCACACGUAUCUUCACUCUAUAUCGUAAUCACUCUAUAUCGUAAAUCACUCUAGAAGUCCCACCACUGUGCAUUACCGCCAGUAUUAUCAAGAAAAUUACAAGACUCAAAGCUACAUCCAUUUUCAGGUGAUGCUAAGGAACUUUCAGCAAUCUGAGCUAUAUUCAGAACGUCUGCCUCCUCCUCCAGAGCUAAGUCGUCGUAGUUGGACUUGAGCACGCUGUAUUCCUGCUCGAUUUGCUUGGACUUUGAUCUAGCCCUCUUGUUCUGGAACCAUAUGGCAAUUUGUCGCGGCUGCAGGCCAAGCUGGCUAGCUAGGUGUUGCUUGAGGUGUAGCUCCGGUCUAGCCUCGGUCUCGAAGGUGGUCUCCAGUGACUUGAUUUGGUCAUCGCUAAAUCUUUUUCUCCUGGAGUUUUUGGAGGUCUUCUUAAUAUUGAUAGACAUUCUUUUUAAGACGUUGGGAAAGCUUUGAUUGUUGUCGCUUAUUUAUUUGGCUCGUAGAGCCACUGUGGAUGCAUCUUUAACGUCAAAUAAAACUAAACGUGUAUGUCUUGAUAUA